UACGUAGGACCCAAGCGUUAUCCGGAAUUACUGGGCGUAAAGAGUUGCGUAGGUGGCAAAGUAAGUAGGUAGUGAAAGCACCCCGCUCAACGGGGUAAACAUUACUUAAACUGCUUAGCUAGAGAAUGAGAGAGGUCACUGGAAUUCCUAGUGUAGGAGUGAAAUCCGUAGAUAUUAGGAGGAACACCGAUGGCGUAGGCAGGUGACUGGCUCAUUUCUGACACUAAUGCACGAAAGCGUGGGGAGCGAACAGG
rnacentral:rRNA from 1 species